rnacentral:misc_RNA from 1 species
CCAAACUUGGUCAUUUAGAGGAAGUAAAAGUCGUAACAAGGUUUCCGUAGGUGAACCUGCGGAAGGAUCAUCAUUGAAACAAUUGGUUUGGGUUUGUUGCUGGCUUAUUAAAAGCAAAUGUGCACACCCAGACAACCUUUUUUUUCAACCACCAGUGAACCUGUUGUAGACCUGAAGCCAAAUCAAACCAGUCAAUUUGAAAAACUUGUUUGGAAAGAUUUGGACUGCUGUGCAAAUCAAUGUCAGCUCUCCUUGAUUCAGGUUUAUGUUUAUAAACACCCUGAUGUAUAUUUGGAAUGUUUUGUUUAAUAAAAUAAAAUACAACUUUCAACAACGGAUCUCUUGGCUCUCGCAUCGAUGAAGAACGCAGC